UGGGGAAUAUUGCACAAUGGGCGAAAGCCUGAUGCAGCGACGCCGCGUGAGGGAAGAAGUCUUCGGAUUGUAAACCUUUGUCCUCGGUGACGAUAAUGACGGUAGCCGAGGAGGAAGCUCCGGCUAACUACGUGCCAGCAGCCGCGGUAAUACGUAGGUCCCGAGCGUUGUCCGGAUUUAUUGGGCGUAAAGCGAGCGCAGGUGGUUUAAUAAGUCUGAUGUAAAAGGCAGUGGCUCAACCAUUGUGUGCAUUGGAAACUGUUAGACUUGAGUGCAGUAGAGGAGAGUGGAAUUCCAUGUGUAGCGGUGAAAUGCGUAGAUAUAUGGAGGAACACCGGUGGCGAAAGCGGCUCUCUGGACUGUCACUGACACUGAGGCUCGAAAGCGUGGGUAGCAAACAGGAUUAGAUACCCUGGUAGUCCACGCCGUAAACGAUGAUUGCUAGGUGUGGGGGGUCUGACCCCUUCCGUGCCGGAGUUAACACAAUAAGCAAUCCACCUGGGGAGUACGGCCGCAAGGUUG
rnacentral:rRNA from 1 species